rnacentral:rRNA from 1 species
AUUGAACGCUGGCGGCAGGCCUAACACAUGCAAGUCGAGCGAGCGGCGGGCGGGUGAGUACUGUAUGGGGACUGCCCGAUAGCUGGGGAUAACUACUGGAAACGGUAGCUAAUACCGCAUACUAUCGGCUACCCCAUAGGGGAUUAGCUAGUAGGUGAGGUAAUGGCUCACCUAGGCGACGAUCCCUAGCUGGACUGAGAGGAUGAUCAGCCACACUGGGACUGAGACACGGCCCAGACUCCUACGGAGGCAGCAGUGGGGAAUAUUGCACAAUGGGCGAAAGCCUGAUGCAGCCAUGCCGCGUGUAUGAAGAAGGCCCUAGGGUUGUAAAGUACUUUCAGUCGGGAGGCGGUACCGACAGAAGAAGCACCGGCUAACUCCGUGCCAGCAGCCGCGGUAAUUC